GCCAGCAUGGCAUAGUGGUUUGAGUGUUAGACGAUGACUCUGGAGACCUGGGUUUAAUUCCCCGUUCAGCCA